rnacentral:rRNA from 1 species
GUGGGGAAUAUUGGACAAUGGGCGAAAGCCUGAUCCAGCCAUGCCGCGUGUGUGAAGAAGGUCUUCGGAUUGUAAAGCACUUUAAGUUGGGAGGAAGGGCAGUAAGUUAAUACCUUGCUGUUUUGACGUUACCGACAGAAUAAGCACCGACUAACUUCGUGCCAGCAGCCGCGGUAAUACGAAGGGUGCAAGCGUUAAUCGGAAUUACUGGGCGUAAAGCGCGCGUAGGUGGUUUUGUAAGUUGGAGGUGAAAUCCCCGGGCUCAACCUGGGAACUGCCUCCAAAACUGCAUGACUAGAGUACGGUAGAGGGUAGUGGAAUUUCCUGUGUAGCGGUGAAAUGCGUAGAUAUAGGAAGGAACACCAGUGGCGAAGGCGACUACCUGGACUGAUACUGACACUGAGGUGCGAAAGCGUGGGGAGCAAACAGGAUUAGAAACCCGUGUAGUCC